GACGAACGCUGGCGGCGUGCCUAAUACAUGCAAGUAGAACGCUGAAGGAGGUGCUUGCUCUUCUGGAUGAGUUGCGAACGGGUGAGUAACGCGUAGGUAACCUGCCUGGUAGCGGGGGAUAACUAUUGGAAACGAUAGCUAAUACCGCAUAACAGUAGAUGUUGCAUGACAUUUACUUAAAAGGUGCAAUUGCAUCACUACCAGAUGGACCUGCGUUGUAUUAGCUAGUUGGUGGGGUAACGGCUCACCAAGGCGACGAUACAUAGCCGACCUGAGAGGGUGAUCGGCCACACUGAGACUGAGACACGGCCCAGACUCCUACGGGAGGCAGCAGUAGGGAAUCUUCGGCAAUGGACGGAAGUCUGACCGAGCAACGCCGCGUGAGUGAAGAAGGUUUUCGGAUCGUAAAGCUCUGUUGUAAGAGAAGAACGAGUGUGAGAGUGGAAAGUUCACACUGUGACGGUAUCUUACCAGAAAGGGACGGCUAACUACGUG
rnacentral:rRNA from 1 species